GUUACUAUAGCGCAGUGGAUAGUGCGCCUGAUUCGUAAUCUAAGGGUCUAGGGUUCGAGUCCUUGCCCAAACU